rnacentral:rRNA from 1 species
AUGUCGCAGUAUUGGUGGGGUGACGAGGAUGACCAACGUAGGAUACAUUGGUUUGCAUGGUGGAAAACGUGUGUACCGAAGGAGCAAGGAGGUAUGGGUUUUCGUGGUGUUCACAGUUUCAAUUUGGCGAUGCUGGCAAAACAGUGUUGGAGGUUGAUUGAGAACAAUGAAUUAUUGUAUGCCCGAGUGUUGAGAGCUAGAUAUUACCCCAAUGGGGAUAUUCUUAACUGUGAAUUAAAAAAAGGGUCAUCAUAUGUAUGACGGAGUAUAUGGGCAGGGAUCCAAACCUUCAAGAAGGGAUGCAUUUGGAGAGUAUGA